rnacentral:rRNA from 1 species
GACAGAGGGUGCAAACGUUGCUCGGAAUUACUGGGCGUAAAGCGCGUGUAGGCGGGCUGAUAAGUCGGACGUGAAAUCCCUGAGCUCAACUCAGGAACUGCAUUCGAAACUGUCAGUCUGGAGUAGUGGAGAGGAAAGCAGAAUUCCUGGUGUAGAGGUGAAAUUCGUAGAUAUCAGGAGGAACACCGGUGGCGAAGGCGGCUUUCUGGACACUUACUGACGCUGAGACG